rnacentral:precursor_RNA from 7 species
GUACCUCCCGAGACCCCGGCUACAGCAAAGUGAGCUGCUCUGUUCCUGCAUCCCACAGGAAGCAGUUUGGGAUGAAGGACGAGGGCAGACCGCGUUGCUUGUGCCGUUUACAGCGCUUUAUCGG